rnacentral:lncRNA from 1 species
CACGCGAUCAAGGGACGUGAGAUAUCACUGCGUGGUACUUAGUGGUGUUCCUGUGGGCUGUCAGGAUAUGGCACCAAUCACACCGUGUGAAGUUAUUCAGCAUGCCACUAGCAAAGAUGGCAUGUUUAUACUGGUGAAGUUUAGUGGCUUCAGAUCAUGAUAAUUAUGCUUCUGGCCUCAUUCCUGAUGACGAUGAAGAUGAAGAUCGUACGUACCUCCCCGACCCACGGCCAGCA